rnacentral:ncRNA from 2 species
UUAUUUCAUGGAAAUGAUGUCUCCCGAGGCAAGUGCCUAAACCGCUUUAUUUGAGCUGAUGACUUCUGCAUAUUU